CACACUUUUACAUUUUACAAACAAAUUAGGAAAAUAUGACUACAAGUCUCAAGUUUGUAUAUGUUGCCAUCCUAUUUCUUUCACUACUUUUAGUUGUAAUGGGAGGCAUACGUAAGAAGGAAUGUCGUCAAGACUCUGAUUGUCCAUCUUAUUUUUGUGAAAAACUUACAAUUGCGAAAUGCAUCCAUUCUACGUGUUUGUGUAAAUAGAAGAAAUUCUUAGAUAAGCACGUAUAAGGCAACGAUGACUUCCUUUGUUUUCUUUUACAAGAUAUAUAUGGAAAUAAAAAAGUUAUUGUAUACCUAUAAAUUAUAUGAGAUAAAUGAAUAUGUAAAUCCUCAUGAGCUUAACUCAGUUGGUAAGGAUAACAUAUAUUAUAUGUAGGUCCUGGAUUUGAACCCCGGACACUCUAAAUUAAAAGAUGAAUAUGUAAAAUUAUUAUUAAAUAAAUGCAAUAUGAUUAUAUAAAGUAGUCAUUUAUCAUUUUCUUCAA